ACUGCUCAGUAACACGUGGACAACCUGCCCUUAGGUCGGGUAUAAACCCGGGAAACUGGGUAUAAUCCCCGAUAGGUCUCGGCUGCUGGAAUGCAUCGAGAUUAAAAGCUCCGGCGCCUAAGGAUGGGUCUGCGACCUAUCAGGUAGUAGUGGGUGUAGCGUACCUACUAGCCUACGACGGGUACGGGUUGUGAGAGCAAGAGCCCGGAGAUGGAUUCUGAGACACGAAUCCAGGCCCUACGGGGUGCAGCAGGCGCGAAAACUUUACAAUGCUGGCAACAGCGAUAAGGGAACCUCGAGUGCCAGGUUACAAAUCUGGCUGUCGAGAUGCCUAAAAAGCAUUUCAUAGCAAGGGCCGGGCAAGACCGGUGCCAGCCGCCGCGGUAACACCGGCGGCUCGAGUGGUAACCGUUAUUAUUGGGUCUAAAGGGUCUGUAGCCGGCCGGAUAAGUCUCUUGAGAAAUCUGGCAGCUUAACUGUCAGGCUUUCAGGAGAUACUGUCUGGCUCGAGGCCGGGAGAGGUGAGAGGUACUUCAGGGGUAGGGGUGAAAUCUUGUAAUCCUUGAAGGACCACCAGUGGCGAAGGCGUCUCACCAGAACGGACCUGACGGCAAGGGACGAAAGCUAGGGGCACGAACCGGAUUAGAUACCCGGGUAGUCCUAGCCGUAAACGAUACUCGCUAGGUGUCGGCCACGGUGCGACCGUUGUCGGUGCCGUAGGGAAGCCGUGAAGCGAGCCACCUGGGAAGUACGGCCGCAAGGCUGAAACUUAAAGGAAUUGGCGGGGGAGCACCACAACGGGUGGAGCUUGCGGUUUAAUUGGAUUCAACGCCGGAAAUCUUACCGGGACCGACAGCAAUAUGAAGGCCAGGCUGAAGACUUUGCCGGAUUAGCUGAGAGGUGGUGCAUGGCCGUCGUCAGUUCGUACUGUGAAGCAUCCUGUUAAGUCAGGCAACGAGCGAGACCCCCGCC
rnacentral:rRNA from 1 species